GGACUACUAGGGUUUCUAAUCCUGUUUGCUCCCCACGCUUUCGCGUCUCAGCGUCAGUACCGUCCCAGCGAGCUGCCUUCGCCAUUGGUGUUCCUCCUGAUAUCUGCGCAUUUCACCGCUACACCAGGAAUUCCACUCGCCUCUUCCGGACUCGAGCCUGACAGUUUCCACCGGCAUUCCAGGGUUGAGCCCUGGACUUUCACAGCGGACUUACCAGGCCGCCUACACGCUCUUUACGCCCAAUGAUUCCGGACAACGCUUGCCCCCUACGUAUUACCGCGGCGGCUGGCAC
rnacentral:rRNA from 1 species